rnacentral:rRNA from 1 species
AAACCAGACUCCUACGGGAGGCAGCAGUGGGGAAUAUUGCACAAUGGGGGAAACCCUGAUGCAGCGACGCCGCGUGAGUGAAGAAGUAUUUCGGUAUGUAAAGCUCUAUCAGCAGGGAAGAAAAUGACGGUACCUGACUAAGAAGCCCCGGCUAACUACGUGCCAGCAGCCGCGGUAAUACGUAGGGGGCAAGCGUUAUCCGGAUUUACUGGGUGUAAAGGGUGCGUAGGUGGCAGGGCAAGUCAGAUGUGAAAGCCCGGGGCCCAACCCCGGUACUGCAUUUGGAACUGUGUGGCUGGAGUGUCGGAGAGGCAGGCGGAAUUCCUAGUGUAGCGGUGAAAUGCGUAGAUAUUAGGAGGAACACCAGUGGCGAAGGCGGCCUGCUGGACGAUGACUGACGUUGAGGCUCGAAAGCGUGGGGAGCAAACAGGAUUAGAUACCCUUGUAA